AUUGAACGCUGGCGGCAUGCCUUACACAUGCAAGUCGAACGGUAACGGGCCUUCGGGUGCCGACGAGUGGCGAACGGGUGAGUAAUGCAUCGGAACGUACCUUUCAGUGGGGGAUAACGUAGCGAAAGUUACGCUAAUACCGCAUAUUCUGUGAGCAGGAAAGUGGGGGAUCGCAAGACCUCACGUUAUAGGAGCGGCCGAUGUCCGAUUAGCUAGUUGGUGGGGUAAAGGCCUACCAAGGCGACGAUCGGUAGCUGGUCUGAGAGGAUGAUCAGCCACACUGGGACUGAGACACGGCCCAGACUCCUACGGGAGGCAGCAGUCGGGAAUAUUGGACAAUGGGGGAAACCCUGAUCCAGCAAUACCGCGUGUGUGAAGAAGGCCUGCGGGUUGUAAACUGCUUUUGUCAGGGAAGAAAUCUUCUGGGCUAAUACCCCGGGAGGAUGACGGUACCUGAAGAAUAAGCACCGGCUAACUACGUGCCAGCAGCCGCGGUAAAGAG
rnacentral:rRNA from 1 species